rnacentral:lncRNA from 1 species
AAACAUGAAAACCUACUGAAUUUCCAAAUAAACACGCUUGGCUAUAAGGUAAGUUAAAGCUCAGUUAUUUUGAUGGAAGAGAAGCAGGGGCCGCGCCUGACUCUACCAAUAUUGACCAAAGGACAUGCACAUCAUCACAAGGGCAGGACUUCACAUCCUUAUAUAAGAUGUAUAUUCCUCUGCCUAAUUUUUACACAAGAAACCGAAUAAAAUAAGGUAAUAUCAUAAUUAAUGAUAUGAAUAUAUGAAAGUUGUUCGGUUGAUGAACAAAGAAUGUGAAAUAAUGUAAUCAAAGGAGAAAAUCACAAUGCAAAUGUUCUCAAAUUGAAGGAAGAACAGGAACUCUCAUAUAGAAGCAAAAUGACACAAUAUCAAUAGCAUAUAGUUCAAGACAGAAUCAUAAUGUUAGUAGAUUUUGAUCAAUUUCUCUUCUCUCAAAAUUAAUUUUGAAAUUCAAAAACUACUUACAUUAAGCUUCUUCUCAUAAUUGAUUCUGACUUUAGAAUCAACAAUGGUAGAAGGAUUUUCAAACAUGCAUACACAUUAAUGUGUUUAAAAUUGAAAUUGGAAUACAAGCUUACGCUUUUUAUGGCUUGAGUGAAGCCUAUCCCAGAGCUUCUUCAGUGGGCAGAGGAAGGAUUGAAGCCAUCCCAUUUGGUUGAUGUGCUACAAUUUUGGCUCUUAGUUUGGAAGAGGCAAGUUUAAACAAGGAAGGGUUGCUUGGAGCAUAGUGACUUGAAUAGUACUACUUCUCAUGUAAUUUACCACCAAAUUCCUUUUCAGUGUAAUCAUGCAAGAAAAACAUGCCAUCUCGGUGCUAUGUCUCUGUCACGCACUUUCUCUUAUGGUAGGAGCUAAACCCAUGUGUAUAAAAACUAAAAAGUAAUUCUUUCUAUGACAUUCACGCUUUCAAACCAUCCUACAUUUCAACGUACACAUUGAACUUAUUAGUGAAGCUAAAGAUUUCUUUACUAUUUUAUGCCUACUUGGUUUCUACGCAUUUGGUGGGUUUAAUUUCUUCAAGUGGUAAAACUCUACUCUUCUGGAUGAUGUGAUGUAGUUAUACACAAGAAACAACUAAAUUUGUUACGUAGCGGGAAAUUAUGACUCCAGAAUCCACAUCCACAAAGUUUUAAAUGUAUCCGCCACUGAUUGGCAGAAUAGGAUAGGAGACAGGAUAGUGUUAUCAUAUCCUGCUGGCGCAACAAACAACAGAUAACAACAGGAUAUGAUUAUUAUCCUGUCCUAUCAUAUCGUGUCCUGGUCACCAAACGGGCCCUAAGAGUCAGAUCAAACCAGACCUUUGAGGGACCAAGUUACAGGCCCUAAUGGGUCGCAUGACCUAUUUCCGCUAUAACUAUUACUAUAACAUCAUUCGUUAGAUUUUUCAUAUCUUUCUUUUAUUCAUGGAGGUUAAAUGAGUCUAACCCAUUAUUUCCCAUAAAAAUACAAGUAUAUAUGAAACGAAAAGAAAAUCAAACACAUAAUAUGCUAGCUGUACAUAUUUAUUAGUAUUUGAAGAGAAACUAAGUCAAUAUUUUUCAUCUCUAUAUACUUGUUACAUGUUUGGAUCCUCAUCCACAUAUAAACCUUGCACAAUCAUUCCACCACACAAGAGCAACUCGAAGUAGCUUCUUGCAGAAUCACGUCUUCUUCAAACAUGAAAACCUACUGAAUUUCCAAAUAAACACGCUUGGCUAUAAGGUAAGUUAAAGCUCAGUUAUUUUGAUGGAAGAGAAGCAGGGGCCGCGCCUGACUCUACCAAUAUUGACCAAAGGACAUGCACAUCAUCACAAGGGCAGGACUUCACAUCCUUAUAUAAGAUGUAUAUUCCUCUGCCUAAUUUUUACACAAGAAACCGAAUAAAAUAAGGUAAUAUCAUAAUUAAUGAUAUGAAUAUAUGAAAGUUGUUCGGUUGAUGAACAAAGAAUGUGAAAUAAUGUAAUCAAAGGAGAAAAUCACAAUGCAAAUGUUCUCAAAUUGAAGGAAGAACAGGAACUCUCAUAUAGAAGCAAAAUGACACAAUAUCAAUAGCAUAUAGUUCAAGACAGAAUCAUAAUGUUAGUAGAUUUUGAUCAAUUUCUC